ensembl:snoRNA
GGGGCCCUGACUGAAGAUCAGUAGUUACUCUGUAGCUGUUGAUUUCAAACAGAGGCCCAGAGGACUAUCUUCCUGUGAUCUGUUGGCUGUUCUGGAACCUCAGUGAGAAUGGCUGUUUCAUUUGGAAGAAACAACC